rnacentral:rRNA from 1 species
AUUAAACGCUGGCGGCAUGCCUUACACAUGCAAGUCGAACGGCAGCACGGGGCAACCUGGUGGCGAGUGGCGAACGGGUGAGUAAUGCAUCGGAACGUGCCAUUGAGUGGGGGGAUAACGUAGCGAAAGUUGCGCUAAUACCGCAUAUUCUGUGAGCAGGAAAGCAGGGGACCGCAAGGCCUUGCGCUCUUUGAGCGGCCGAUGUCAGAUUAGCUAGUUGGUGAGGUAACGGCUUACCAAGGCGACGAUCUGCAGCGGGUCUGAGAGGAUGAUCCGCCACACUGGAACUGAGACACGGUCCAGACUCCUACGGGAGGCAGCAGUGGGGAAUUUUGGACAAUGGGCGCAAGCCUGAUCCAGCCAUGCCGCGUGAGUGAAGAAGGCCU